rnacentral:rRNA from 1 species
GAUGAACGCUGGCGGCGUGCCUAAUACAUGCAAGUCGAGCGAACAGACGAGGAGCUUGCUCCUCUGACGUUAGCGGCGGACGGGUGAGUAACACGUGGAUAACCUACCUAUAAGACUGGGAUAACUUCGGGAAACCGGAGCUAAUACCGGAUAAUAUAUUGAACCGCAUGGUUCAAUAGUGAAAGACGGUUUUGCGGUCACUUAUAGAUGGAUCCGCGCCGCAUUAGCUAGUUGGUAAGGUAACGGCUUACCAAGGCAACGAUGCGAAGCCGCCCUGAGAGGGUGGUCGGCCACACUGGAACUGAGACACGGUCCAGACUCCUACGGGAGGCAGCAGUCGGGAAUCUUCCGCAAGGGAGGAAAGCCUGACGGAGCAACGCCGCGUGAGUGAUGAAGGUCUUAGGAUCGGAAAACUCUGUUAUUAGGGAAGAACAAAUGUGUAAGUAACUAUGCACGUCUUGACGGUACCUAAUCAGAAAGCCACGGCUAACUACGUG